UAGGCCUCAAAUUAGUAGGAUUACCCGCUGAACUUAAGCAUAUCAAUAAGCGGAGGAAAAGAAACUAACAAGGAUUCCCCUAGUAACUGCGAGUGAAGCGGGAAAAGCUCAAAUUUAAAAUCCGUCCCCCGACGGAGUUGUAAUCUAGAGAAGUGUUUUCGGCCGUUGACUUGGACAAGUCCCCUGGAACAGGGCGUCAUAGAGGGUGAUAAUCCCGUACUUACCAAGAUCCCAACGUCUAUGUGAUACACUCUCGAAGAGUCGAGUUGUUUGGGAAUGCAGCUCAAAAUGGGUGGUAAAUUCCAUCUAAAGCUAAAUAUUGGCGAGAGACCGAUAGCGAACAAGUACCGUGAGGGAAAGAUGAAAAGCACUUUGGAAAGAGAGUUAAACAGUACGUGAAAUUGCUAAAAGGGAAGCGCUUGAAGUCAGUCGCGUUUAAUGAGACUCAGCCUCACGGUGUAUUUCUCUUGAACGGGCCAACAUCGAUUUUGGGCGCGGGAAAAGGGUUUGGGGAAGGUGGCAACCUCGGUUGUGUUAUAGCCCCUUACCGUACACCGCGCCUGGGAUCGAGGACCGCGGCU
rnacentral:rRNA from 1 species